rnacentral:rRNA from 1 species
GACGAACGCUGGCGGCGUGCCUAACACAUGCAAGUCGAACGGAACUUACCGAAUGAAGUCUUCGGAUGGAUUUUGAUAAGUUUAGUGGCGGACGGGUGAGUAACGCGUGAGUAACCUGCCUUCAAGAGGGGAAUAACGUUCUGAAAAGAACGCUAAUACCGCAUAACAUACGGAUGUCGCAUGGCAACCGUAUCAAAGAUUUUAUCGCUUGAAGAUGGACUCGCGUCCGAUUAGCCAGUUGGCGGGGUAACGGCCCACCAAAGCGACGAUCGGUAGCCGGACUGAGAGGUUGAACGGCCACAUUGGGACUGAGACACGGCCCAAAUCCUACGGGAGGCAGCAGUAGGGAAUCUUCCACAAUGGACGCAAGUCUGAU